rnacentral:rRNA from 1 species
GGAAUAUUGGACAAUGGGCGAAAGCCUGAUCCAGCAACGCCGCGUGGAGGAAGAAGGUCUUCGGAUCGUAAACUCCUGUCAGGUGGGAAGAAAGGCCGUCGGCAAAUAGCCGGUGUUCUUGACUGUACCACCGGAGGAAGCCCCGCCUCACUCCGCGCCAGCAGCCGCGGUAAUACGGAGGGGGCGAGCGUUAUUCGGAAUUAUUGGGCGUAAAGGGCGCGUAGGCGGCCUGGUAAGUCAAAGGUGAAAUCCCUCGGCUCAACCGAGGAACUGCCUUUGAAACUACCUGGCUCGAGGCCGGGAGGGGGUAGCGGAAUUCCCAGUGUAGCGGUGAAAUGCGUAGAUAUUGGGAGGAACACCGGUGGCGAAGGCGGCUACCUGGACCGGUUCUGACGCUGAUGCGCGAAAGCGUGGGGAGCAA